rfam:Heligmosomoides polygyrus genome assembly, scaffold: HPBE_contig0000293
GCGCCGGGGGUGUAAGGCGAACAUCGCUGCCCGGAAAGCAGAAGAUGCGGGUUCGAGUCCCGCCUGGCGCA